CAGGACUGGCCCUUGACCUUGGAGAAAUUGCAGUGGAUAGGAGGAAGGUGGGUAUAUAGGGGAAGAUCAGCCUGGCUUUGUUACAAGCCUGGAAUCUGGGACUCCAGGCGAGGAGACUGGUGGUAUUCCAGACUGGAAGUGAUGGAUUAGGGUGGAGCCUGAGGGAAUGCAGAGGGAAGAGUCUUUCAGAGAGCCACUUUGGCUUGUGGCUAGGUCGUGGGGAAGAGAAGGUGCUAAAAUUUUGAGCCUUAGCGAUUGGCAGAAAAACCCGGAUUCAGGCUUCUUUACAGGAACGUCAUGUUUGAUUUGAUGUUAGGCGACCUGCCUUCAAAACCACGGCAGUCCAAAUUGAAAUGUUUAUGGUCAGGCAAAUAGAGUUUGCAGUGGAAACCAAUUCUGGGAAGAGAACUUGUAGGAAAUUGCAUUACCAAGCCUCGAAGGUGUAGGUCGCUGAGAACGUAUGCAGGGAGAGUGAGCCCAGGGCCCUGGGCAUCGGCCUAGAAUUGGGCGAGGCUGUAUAUCUUGUACCUGUUUAUGAUCCCAGCGCCCGCCCAGACUGCUGGACCUGUUUCUGCUAAUGAACACACAUGUCUUCUAUCAAACCACACCCCUUUUUGAAGUUCAGGUUUCUGUUUAAGUUUCCUUCUCCCUAGUAACUAUGUCCAGGAGGCUAUGUCCUGGAAAGAUAGGUAUAUACGCUUACUUCUCCACUCGUUCUCCUUGACCUUUGCUGUGCCAUUCACUUAUAGAUUACUGAGAGGCCCCAAGUUGUGCCUGCUAUAGCCACGAGCCAUCGGUCUUUAAUUAGCCUCCACCAGCAAGACUGUUUGUUCUGGUUCCUUCCCAGUCAUCACUAUAGAGGAGUAAGAGCACUGCACAGAGCGUCAGGAGGCUUCUGCCAGCUACGUGGUCUCGGGUGAGGCACUUCCGUUUCCAGGACUUAGUGCCUAGUCUGAGCGGUCUGGUUUUCUUCCAUGUCCAAAGCCUUCGGAUUUGACAUCCAAAGCUUUCUCCACCUCUGCCCAGGUUUCUGGUGCCGGGCAGGCGUUUUGACCGAGCUGCGCAGAUUUCUCUGAUGCUUUGUGGGAAGGAGUAGCAGAAAUGGACGCCUGCUCUCUUGGGUAGACCCCUGUCUCCAAAGUGGGUGGGCGCCCUCCAGAGGGAGUGUGGCCCUUGUCCCUCUUGGGAAUGUGGAAAUGCGGGAAGAGCAGGUUUUCCCAGUCACCAAGCAGUUGGCAGGCUACAGCCCAUAGGUCAGAUGCCUG
rnacentral:lncRNA from 1 species